rnacentral:rRNA from 1 species
GUCGAGCGAGAAGUGACUUCGGUCGCGAGUAAAGCGGCGAACGGGUGAGUACAACGUGGAUAAUCUACCCUAGGGUCUGGGACAACCCCGAGAAAUCGGGGCUAAUACCGGAUAAGACCACAGUAUCCAAGGAUACAGCGGUAAAAGAUUUAUCGCCUUUGGAUGAGUCCACGCCCCAUCAGGUAGUUGGUAAGGUAAAGGCUUACCAAGCCUAAGACGGGUAGCCGGCCUUAGCGGGUGAACGGCCACAUGGGGACUGAGACACGGCCCUGACUCCUACGGGAGGCAGCAGUGGGGAAUAUUGGGCAAUGGGCGAAAGCCUGACCCAGCGAUGCCGCGUGAGGGAUGAAGGCCUUCGGGUUGUAAACCUCUGUCAGGAGGGACGAUGGGACACUUGUGUCUUGACGGUACCUCCAGAGGAAGCCCCGGCUAACUCCGUGCCAGCAGCCGCGGUAAUACGGAGGGGGCAAGCGUUGCCCGGAAUUACUGGGCGUAAAGGGUCCGCAGGCUGUCAGGCAAGUUGGUUGUGAAAUCCCAAGGCUUAACCUUGGAAUUGCAUCCAAAACUGCCUGACUAGAGUCCAAGAGAGGUUGGCGGAAUUCCCGGUGUAGCGGUGAAAUGCAUAGAUAUCGGGAGGAACACCAGAGGCGAAGGCGGCCAACUGGCUUGGUACUGACGCUCAGGGACGAAAGCGUGGGUAGCAAACCGGAUUAGAUACCCGGGUAGUCCACGCCCUAAACGAUGGAUGCUAGGUAGGGGGAAUUUAAUUCUCCCUGCCGUAGUUAACGCAUUAAGCAUCCCGCCUGGGGAGUACGGUCGCAAGGCUGAAACUCAAAGGAAUUGGCGGGGGCCCGCACAAGCGGUGGAGCACGUGGUUUAAUUCGAUGCUAAGCGAAAA